UUCAGAGGGUGCGAGCGUUAAUCGGAAUUACUGGGCGUAAAGCGCGCGUAGGCGGCUUAGUAAGUCGGAUGUGAAAUCCCCAAGCUUAACUUGGGAACUGCAUUCGAAACUGCUUUGCUAGAGUAUGGGAGAGGGAAGUGGAAUUUCAGGUGUAGCGGUGAAAUGCGUAGAUAUCUGAAGGAACAUCAGUGGCGAAAGCGACUUCCUGGACCAAUACUGACGCUCAUGUGCGAAAGCGUGGGGAGCAAACAGG
rnacentral:rRNA from 1 species